AUGAUAAGUUUUCUCCAAUUUGCCGUCAUUGGGACUAUUAUCUUAAUGGAGCUCCUGCUGAUCUCAAACCCAACUGUACUGGCAAUACACCGGAUGAACUUUUUUGCCGCUUUCGUCUAAGUGAGUUUACCGGAAAAAUCGACAAGCUCAAUAUGAAUAACAAAGACGAGCUGAACGAGUUCAAGACAUCUUGCGAUUCUUUGCAGAAAUGUUUCGCCAAUCUCACCUGAUUUUGCCAAGUGCAGUGACAAAUUGAACGCGAAGAAAUCAGCAUGUUUUGAUGACUGGGGCCCGGUUCCAAAUGGAAUUCAUUCAACACUGGACCAGAAUAAAAUUGAGCAAUUGAAGAAGGACACAUGCAAGACAUAUUUCGGAAAGAAUGACUGCCUCAAGAAGGAAAUCAGUGAAACUUGUAGCCAACAAGAAUGGAACAAGUUCCGUGAGCAAUUCGUCAAUCUAUCUUAUAUGCUUGUCAGCGAAUGCGACUUCAGCAGACUCGGAUAA